CUAUUGCCAUAGGAUAAUGCCCCGAGUAAGUCUCAGGUCAGGAGGAGCACAACGUACGUUGGAGAUGGGAUCGAGCGGCCUGGCUCAACUCUCAUGUUUGUCCAUCCAUGAUCAGUAGACGAUUGUCCCAAGACAUAGGGGUGAGGAGAUCUAGAAGCUCUCGAAUACAGGAGGAGACUGAAUAUCGAGUCAAGGUGAAGAUUAUUAGGAUUUGAUGUCUCAAGAUUUAGUCCAUAUUAAGCCCAC
rnacentral:lncRNA from 1 species